rnacentral:lncRNA from 1 species
CAACUAGACUAUCAUCCAAUUUUGCACUUUGAGUCCUAAAGGUUGAAACUCAUCUUCAUCUUUUCCUUAAAACUCAUCUUCAUCUCUCUCUCAAAAGUCAAAACUCAUCUUCAUCUCUUCCACAAUCGAUAUCAAUGCCCUGAAUUCACUACGUGCGACCUGGAUGCUUGCAUCUCUGCGACCUCACUGCUUGCAUCCCCAGAUCCCCUUCAUCUGCAAGCCCUGAACUCUGCAAAUCAAAAGCUCUGCAAAACAGACUUGGCAAAUCAUUCACCAGCUCUUCGUUUCAUCUAAUAUGGUAAGAACUUAGAACUUGUAUUAGUUAGUUUAGUUAAUAAUUUGUAAUUAAAUUAAUUUUACAGUUAGUGUUCGUUUGAAUCAAAUAUUCAAAAGGGGAACUGGGUUAGAGUUCGUUUGAAUCAAAGAUUCAUUUUAAAGUCUUGGAUGUGAAAUCGAAGUUGAAUCCAUUGAAUCUUUAAUAUGGGACAAGAUGAAACUAUGUUUAUUUCUGUUGUAAGCACUGAGCAUCGGUCAUAUUGAGGGGGCUGGAAUAACAUUAGCACUUUCUUCGAGUGUUCUGCAUACCACAUUAUAUAUUGAUAGCAAAAUCAAGAAUUUUCAUGAAUGCAGUUUGUUUAUACCAUAUUUAGGGCCUCGUAUUUAGAUCUCGUACAAAUACUCGGGGGACUUAAAUGUAAUUAUGUGAUAAAGGAAUGGGCAAAUAUGUAAUAAGCAAGGAGUCCUUAUUCUAUAAAAGGACCCCUCACCCUCACAAUUAGGGGAGACCAAUUCCUAAGGCUCCUCACCCCCUCUCAAAGCUCUCACUCUCAGAGCUCUCUCUCCCUCGGAUAAAUACAUAACCAGUGUGGACGUAGCCCAAACCUUGGGGUGAACCACAAUACAUCUUGUGUUAUUUACAUUUCUUGCAGAUUCACGGUCAGAUUUACGUUGUUCCAAGAUCUCCGGUUUUGCGCAUCAACACAGUUUUUCUUGCUCAUAGGACAAUGAAAACUUUGAAGUUAAGCAGCUUAUUCCACUCAAGAACUUUUUCCUCUCUUUCUUUCCUAUUUUGCAAAUCGUCUGUUACUGAUUUUUUGUUUUCAUUGUUCUUUUGUUCUUUCUUGUUUUGGAGCACUGUUGCGUAUGAGUUCUUUUGUUCUGUUUUCAUUGAUUUAUAGUUUGGUUGUUCUCUAGUCAGUAGUCAGGUGUAGUUCUAGGUUGCAGUAGAAAAUUGGUGGAUUAAAGUCAUUUUAUGCAAGAGGCUUGAAAGUCAUCUUUAUAGUUUUGCUGCAUUGUUGUUGCUGUUUUUGCUGCAGUUUUGCUGCAUGUUCAUUAAUUAAUAUAUCAGGAAAAUAUAACUGUCUUAUGCAUAAAUAGGUGUAUAUUUUAAAUUGUAUAUUUUUUUUCUCAAAAACCAAACCGAAACUGUUUGAAACCGCACCAAACCGAACCGAACCGCACCGUAAAAAGUUUCGAUUUCAAUUGCGGUUUCACUUGAAACCGCAUCAUACCCACCCCUAGUUACUUCAAC